UACGAAGGGUGCAAACGUUGCUCGGAAUUACUGGGCGUAAAGGGCGCGUAGGCGGCCAACUAAGUCAGACGUGAAAUCCCUCGGCUUAACCGGGGAACUGCGUCUGAUACUGGAUGGCUUGAGUUCGGGAGAGGGAUGCGGAAUUCCAGGUGUAGCGGUGAAAUGCGUAGAUAUCAGGAGGAACACCGGUGGCGAAGGCGGCUUGCUGGGCCGGACUUGACGCUGAGGAGCGAAAGCGUGGGGAGCGAACAGG
rnacentral:rRNA from 1 species